GUGGACUAUUGUGGUGCGUGGACUAUUGAGUACAUGGACUACCCAAUAUGUGAACUGUUGGAUGCGUGGACCACUGAGUAUGUAGACCGCCGAGUAUGUGGACUACUACAUGUGUAGAUUACUGGAUGCGUGGACUAUUGGGGUGCGUGGACUAUUGAGUACAUGGACUACCCAAUAUGUGAACUGUUGGAUGCGUGGAUCCCUGAGUAUGUAGACCGCCGAGUAUGUGGACUACUACAUGUGUAGACUACUGGAUGCGUGGACUAUUGUGAAUCCAGAAAAACGUUGCCUGACAUACGAGCAGUUAAAGAAGCCAGCACGAAACAGUGAUCACAACGACCAGUAUCAAAAAGUAAAUCACAGAAUGGUGGACAGUGGGCCGGCAUAGUCUUUCGGUAAAGAAACGACGUCUCGUGUGAUUCACGCGACGCGUCUGCCUGUGCUCCUCGCAACGAAGACCGCGACCUAUCAAUAGCUGCUCAUAUACAGUGAAGAGGGACUGUCAUUCCACCGAAGGCUAAAAAUAGAGUUCGCGCGUCCGUCUAUAAAGCUGCUGCUUCGAGAACUCCUGUACCACCGCCUCUCACUCUUCGUUCGACCAUUCUUUCUUCCUCUCUCCGACAUUCUUUCCUCUCUCUUCCAUCUUCUUUCUUCUUUCUUUUUAUCUUACCGUCUCUGUAUUUAUAGUUCCGCGCGAAACACUUCCCUGCUACAUACUCUUCGUUCAUGCUUCGAUCGAAAUGCGUCUGCAUCAAAACUUUUGGGUAUUUCGUCGAUGCAUGGGUCACUGGGACCCCAGGCAUUCGGGAUAUGAGCUAUGACGUGAUUUGAUGCUAAUUUAUAUGCGAGAUAUUGCAUUUUGGGUUCUUAGAUUUUGAGUAGUUAGAUUUUGGGUACUUAGAUUCUGGAUACUUAGGUUAUUGAUUUGUGUAAUUGUAUUAUUGCAUCUUUGGGUUAUUGCAGUGUUUGAAUGUAGAUGGAUCUUUGGAUAGAUGAACUCUUACAUGGGUGGAUUCCUAGGUGCAUGGAUCUCUGGAUGGGUGGAUUCCUAAAUAUAUGGAUGAGUGGAUUUUUGGGAAGGUGAAUUCUACGAAGAGUGGAUUCUUGAAUGGAUGGAUUUGUGGAUGAGUAGAUUUCUGGAUAGGUGGAUCUGUGGAAGGGUGGAUUCUUGAAUGGGUAGAGUUUUAAAUGGGUAGAUAUCUGGAUGGAUGGAAUCCUAAAUAGGUGGAUCUAUGGAUGAGUGGAUUCUUGGAUGGGUGGAUUCCUAGGUGUGUGGAUCUCUGAAUAGGUGGAUUCCUAAAUAGGUGGAUCUCUGGAUGGGUGGAUUUCUAAACAGGUGGAUCUGUGGAUAGGUGGAUUUUUGGAAAAGUUAAUUCUUUGAAAGGUGGAUUCUAGAAUGGGUGGAUUUCUAGAUGGGUGCAUCUCUGGAUGGGUGGAUUCCUAAAUUGGUGGAUUUGUGGAUGGAUGGAUUCCUAAAUAGGUGGAUUUCUGAAUGGGUGGAUUCUUGAAUGGGUGAAUUUGUAGAUGGAUGGAUUUGUGGAUGAGUGGAUUCCUAAAUAGGUGAAUCUGUGGAAGGGUGAAUUCUUGAAUAAAUAGAUUUGUAGAUGGGUGAAUCUCUGACUAGAUGGAUUCCUAAAUAGAUGGAUCUGUGGAUGAGUUGUCAUCUCAAAAUCUUGUACCUCUCAGUCCCCUAAACUCCUAACUACCAUCCUCCUCCAUCCUCCUUCAUCUUAUCUUCGCAAUCGAUGACGUGAAUCUUCCAACAACUAAUCUAAUGUCUUCUUCUUUGCAGAAACCUUGUACCCACCGUGUGAAGUUUAAGGUGAAGCCGAUAAAUCAUCUCGAAAAGAAGAAACGUAAACGUGGAUCUAAACGAGAGGCUAAUGGCAGCCAUCAAAGAAGAGCACGUAAGAACGGUAGCCAGUCAAGGACGGAGCUUAUGAAGAUUGGCUAAAUUAAACUCCAUUAGGACAGUCGUGGCCGUUUUGUCCCGACGAUAAAUGCAUGCGCGACAGAACCCGUGUAACUAUGAUAGAGAGCAUUAAUUGAACCGCACAGAGCGACGGGCUCCGAAUCGCUUUACGAUUGACCCCGAAUUUAUUUCCACAUUCUUAACCCACAAUCAAACGUUCGCGGGUCACGUUAUUAACCCAAUGGUAUUAACCCGUCUAUGAAUCAACCGGACUAAACUUUCGCUACGUCAAGUGAUUCUUAUUUGUCCUCGUUGCUGAUACCCCUUUAUCGAUCGUUUUAUAUUUUCUAUAAAUCGUUUGUAAUAACUGGUUUUACGACGUUUUCAACAUACUAAUCGAUUAUUAAUCGGGCUUAUUUCGUCUGGGUUCGUGGAUACAAUUUUAUUGAUGGCGAAAGUGUAGUGUGGUAUAUUUAUUUUUGUCGAAUCAAUUUGUACAUCUUAUUCUUAAUUUAUUAUAGUCGGUAUAGGAACACACACCGAAAAUUUGUAAUAUAUUUAUUUAUAAUUUUUAAUAUAUCGUAUGAGUAACUUGUAUAUCGUAUGAGUAAUCGUGUGAGUAACUUGAAGAAAGGUUCGUAGAGAGACUCACUGUGUAUUCUAGCGUAUUCAGAAUUAUUGUAACCUCUUUACGCAGUUGUAAUAAUAUGCUCCUACGAAAGUGUCAAGCAAGGUGCGAACGAAAUCUUGUUCCUCCCAAACCUUAUCAUUCGAGAAUGUUUACACGAAAUGCAAAUUAUAUCGUUAAUGAUACAGUGGAGAGAUAAUAAAAAAUAUAAGAACCGAAAGAUAAUGAUAUAGUAUAAGUUUGUCGGAACAGAAAGGUUAGGCCUUCACCUUUCAUCGAGAAAGUCCGGAAGAGAACCACUUAAACUCAGCUAAUUGGCUGUGGUAGUGCAUUUAUCCGUUGAAAAUCAUGCUCGUUAGUGCACGGAGUAUUAUUAGUGGACUGUAAAAAGCUGUCGGUGAAAAAAUGCCCGAUUUACUAACCGGGAGUUGUUCGUAAAUCGAAGUUCGCUCGAUCGUGACGAUCUGCGAGGUAAUAUUCGUUGUAAUUAAUACGUGUAAAACACCGUAUACAUUCCCAUUUAAGAGAAAAAGACAUCGCCUUGAAGUUUCGACGGUUCCUGCUACGAGGUCAAGAUUUAUGUACGAAAUAAAAUGUCCUCUCGAAACGAGCCGAAACUUUCGUCCGACACGUUUGUCCGUGUAAUUCGCGGAACGAAAUGGUGUUCGACGUCCAAAGAUCAAAAUGGGCGCCGUGUUCCGAAAAUGUCCAGAAAUCGAGUUAAAUAUAACUCGCCGGUAACCGAGCAUAAAAUUUGCAUCAUUAACGGUGAACGAAGUCGUAAACUGAAUAUCGUUAUUCUAAAAGUGUCCUACGCAAUAUCUUGAUAAGUUUGCGGCCGAUAUUUCGAGACGGCAGGAAAAAGAAAAGGAAACGGACGAUCAAAGGAACAGGAGAGAGGAGAAUCAAGGUUAAAAAGUUACGGAAAUUUUCAUGCAAAUGUUAUUCAGGAAGUUUGUUGUCUCGUGGUCGAGAAACGUUGAUCUUGACGGGAAAGGGCAAGAAUAUCGAUGACGUGUGCGCAAGGGAGAGCGGCAUUUAUCGCUUGGUCGCGUAUCGAACGCGAGACAACGGGGUUCCUCUUGCGAGACAAGCAUGCAAAUGAUCGACCGACAAUUCGACUAAUUUUAUUCGUAAGACAAAUUCCAUAUUACAGCUAUUAGUUAUUUAUGUGGGAGUGUAAUAUAUUUAUGUAUGGUUUGAUGUAGAAUGUAUGUAUAGUUUAUCACUGUGAAAUUGUGUGUAUGACUGCAAGCGUGAAUGGUGAUUAAUGAAAGAAACGUGAAAUGUUGUGCGCCGCGAAAUACAAAUUAUAAUAUUCUACGUAUUACAAUUUUACUACGUUUAAUAGUUCCAUAUGUUAUUGUACUCUUAUUGCGAGUUAAUUGUUGUGUUCUCUUAAAUAAAAGGAUAGUUAUUAAAACUCUA
rnacentral:misc_RNA from 1 species